rnacentral:tRNA from 1 species
UAGGUAUGGUGUUAGUGGUUAGCACAUGACAUUGCCAAUGUCAAGGGGACAGUUCAAAUCUGUUUAUCUACUC